rnacentral:rRNA from 1 species
CCUACGGGCGGCAGCAGUGGGGAAUUUUGCGCAAUGCUCGUAAGAGUGACGCAGCGACGCCGCGUGAAUGACGAAGGCCUUCGGGUCGUAAAGUUCUUUCGACAGGGAAGAAAAUGCCUAUAAGUAACUGUGUAUGUAUUGCCGGUACCUGUAUAAGCAGCCCCGGCUAACUCCGUGCCAGCAGCCGCGGUAAUACGGAGGGGGCGAGCGUUGUUCGGAGUGACUGGGCGUAAAGAGCACGUAGGCGGUGUUGUAAGUCAUUAGUCAAAGACUAGAGCUCAACUUUAGUAAGGCUAGUGAUACUAUAAUACGAGAGUAUCAGAGAGGAUUGCAGAAUUCCUGGUGUAGCGGUGAAAUGCGUAGAUAUCAGGAGGAAUACCGUUAGCGAAGGCGGCAAUCUGGCUGGAAACUGACGCUGAGGUGCGAAAGCGUGGGUAGCAAACGGGAUUAGAUACCCCUGUAGUC